GGUUAAGCGACUAAGCGUACACGGUGGAUGCCCUGGCAGUCAGAGGCGAUGAAGGACGUGCUAAUCUGCGAAAAGCGUCGGUAAGGUGAUAUGAACCGUUAUAACCGGCGAUGUCCGAAUGGGGAAACCCAGUGCAAUUCGUUGCACUAUCGUUAACUGAAUACAUAGGUUAACGAGGCGAACCGGGGGAACUGAAACAUCUAAGUACCCCGAGGAAAAGAAAUCAACCGAGAUUCCCCCAGUAGCGGCGAGCGAACGGGGAGCAGCCCAGAGUCUGAAUCAGCUUGUGUGUUAGUGGAACGGUCUGGAAAGUCCGACGGUACAGGGUGAUAGUCCCGUACACCAAAAUGCACAGGCUGUGAACUCGAAGAGUAGGGCGGGACACGUGGUAUCCUGUCUGAAUAUGGGGGGACCAUCCUCCAAGGCUAAAUACUCCUGACUGACCGAUAGUGAACCAGUACCGUGAGGGAAAGGCGAAAAGAACCCCGGCGAGGGGAGUGAAAAAGAACCUGAAACCGUGUACGUACAAGCAGUGGGAGCACCUUCGGGUGUGACUGCGUACCUUUUGUAUAAUGGGUCAGCGACUUAUAUUCUGUAGCAAGGUUAACCGUAUAGGGGAGCCGCAGGGAAACCGAGUCUUAACUGGGCGUUAAGUUGCAGGGUAUAGACCCGAAACCCGGUGAUCUAGCCAUGGGCAGGUUGAAGGUUGGGUAACACUAACUGGAGGACCGAACCGACUAAUGUUGAAAAAUUAGCGGAUGACUUGUGGCUGGGGGUGAAAGGCCAAUCAAACCGGGAGAUAGCUGGUUCUCCCCGAAAGCUAUUUAGGUAGCGCCUCGUGAAUUCAUCUUCGGGGGUAGAGCACUGUUUCGGCUAGGGGGUCAUCCCGACUUACCAACCCGAUGCAAACUACGAAUACCGAAGAAUGUUAUCACGGGAGACACACGGCGGGUGCUAACGUCCGUCGUGAAGAGGGAAACAACCCAGACCGCCAGCUAAGGUCCCAAAGUCAUGGUUAAGUGGGAAACGAUGUGGGAAGGCACAGACAGCCAGGAUGUUGGCUUAGAAGCAGCCAUCAUUUAAAGAAAGCGUAAUAGCUCACUGGUCGAGUCGGCCUGCGCGGAAGAUGUAACGGGGCUAAACCAUGCACCGAAGCUGCGGCAGCGACACUAUGUGUUGUUGGGUAGGGGAGCGUUCUGUAAGCCUGCGAAGGUGACCUGUGAGGGUUGCUGGAGGUAUCAGAAGUGCGAAUGCUGACAUAAGUAACGAUAAAGCGGGUGAAAAGCCCGCUCGCCGGAAGACCAAGGGUUCCUGUCCAACGUUAAUCGGGGCAGGGUGAGUCGACCCCUAAGGCGAGGCCGAAAGGCGUAGUCGAUGGGAAACAGGUUAAUAUUCCUGUACUUGGUGUUACUGCGAAGGGGGGACGGAGAAGGCUAUGUUAGCCGGGCGACGGUUGUCCCGGUUUAAGCAUGUAGGC
rnacentral:rRNA from 1 species